rnacentral:rRNA from 1 species
GUAGGGAAUAUUGGGCAAUGGAUGAAAGUCUGACCCAGCCAUGCCGCGUGCCGGAUGAAGGCGCUCAGCGUUGUAAACGGCUUUUAUUCGGGAAGAAGAGCAGGGAUGCGUCCCUGUGUGACGGUACCGAAUGAAUAAGCACCGGCUAACUCCGUGCCAGCAGCCGCGGUAAUACGGAGGGUGCGAGCGUUGUCCGGAUUUAUUGGGUUUAAAGGGUGCGUAGGUGGCCAAAUAAGUCAGUGGUGAAAUACGGUUGCUCAACAAUCGAGGUGCCAUUGAUACUGCUUGGCUUGAAAUAAUUGGAGGCUGCCGGAAUGGAUGGUGUAGCGGUGAAAUGCAUAGAUAUCAUCCAGAACACCGAUUGCGAAGGCAGGUGGCUACGAUUUAUUUGACACUGAGGCACGAAAGCAUGGGGAGCAAACAGGAUUAGAUACCCGGGUAGUCC